UGCUGCAUCUUUCAGUCUUAUUUCCAGCUGCUGCAGCACCGACAGUAAAGUUUCAGAUCAACAGUCAUAACCUCCUGCAUUAACACCAGCCAGAGCAGCAACCUCUCAACAGCAACAUUGUGCCCACCAGGAAGCCACAAGAUGGGGGAUUCAUUGUCUAGACCAAUUGAAGAUGAAACUUUGGAAAGCAAGAUGGAGAGAUUUAAGGUUAAGAAAAUCACCACAGGCAAAACCUUUGGGGCAGAUCGAGUUUUGUGUAAACAAGUUAUGAUGAAACUCAAUGAAAAACGCAUGAAGAUGAAGAAACACAUCAUUGUUUUCUGUCCCAUCACGUCUCGUGUUGGCUCAGAUGUGGAAGCAGCCAUGGAGGAUGUGAAAAAUGAUCAAGGAAUCAUCCUGGUUUUGAUGCACCACACCCGAGAUCCUGACUACUCAACUGCUGGGAUAAAUUGUUGUGAAAAAUUCAGUAAUGUUGACUUGGAUGUUCAUGUUCUGUUUCAUGAAACUGUGCCGGGCUUAUUGACAUGUUCACAAAAUGAAAAGGCAGUGGGUGAAAUUGUAGAUUUUUUUAAGACAAGAGCUACCAACAAAACUUGGUGGUGAAUUAUGACAGAAGUAGUAGUAACAGAAAAGACAGAAAAUAUUGAACCAGGCCAAAAUGCAGAAAAGUCAAAAGAUAAUGCGCAGCCAA